CAUGGCGAAGUCUCUCACCAACACCCUCUUCCUCUGAGGUAGUUCUACCAGCUGUGGAUGACUGAGGGACAGAGCAUACAGGAGUAUUUCAGUCAUUUCCAGAAGAUCCUCAUUGACCUCCUUAGCAUUGACGAGAAAGUUGAGAAAAAGAUCAGGACGCAGGUUUUGCUAGCGUCACUUCUCCUUUCGUAUAAGUCCUUGGUGACUGCU
rnacentral:lncRNA from 1 species